rnacentral:rRNA from 1 species
UGCAACUCGCCUGCAUGAAGUCGGAAUUGCUAGUAAUCGCAGAUCAGCAUGCUGCGGUGAAUACGUUCCCGGGCCUUGUACACACCGCCCGUCACACCAUGGGAGUCGGUAACACCCGAAGUCGGUAGCCUAACCGUAAGGAGGGCACCGCCGAAGGUGGGAUUGAUGACUGGGGUGAAGUCGUAACAAGGUAUC